GAAAAAACAAUUUAAAUCAGAGUCUUUAUUUCUUAUUUCACACAUAUAAUGAAUGUAAACGUUCAGAACGCCUGCAGGAAUCUGUAGUAAGACUCAGAUCUUCAUUCUUUUACCUCCUCCAGACCGUUAAACUCGUCAUCAACACAUUUAUCAGACGUAUUUACGGGUUCUGACCUGGUGUCCCAGAUGUAGAUGUAGGUGUCCACCGAGCUGGUGACCAGAAACUCCGGCUCAAACCAGGACCAGUCCAGAUCACUGAGGACAACACAGAGCAGUCAGUCCCUGAACGCAUCACACGUCACCUGAUGACCCGGGUGUGGCCCUGCAGCGAGGUGUGAGAUUCUCCACAGCCGUCCCUCCAUGAGUACAGAUCCACCCGCUGGUUACUCUGAGGAACACAGAAAUACAGGAAGUAAAGCUAGUUUCAAUAUUCUACUUUCCUUCCUGCUGCUGUUGUCGGGUUCUGAGGUUCUGAUGUUCUGAGGUUCUGGUGUUCUGAGGUUCUGGUGUUGUGAGUCGGACCCACCGAGGCGGCGAACACGUGGGCUUCGGUUCUGUGCGGGUUCCACUGGACCGUCCCC